AGCCGCGCGGUGAGCACAAAGCGAACUAUUCUUUCGCCUUUUACUAAAGAAUACCGUGUUCUCGCCGCAGACAGCGGCAUACGCCAAUUUUUGGAGGGUUUUCCCUGACUGGGAAGCC